CGCAAUGGGCGAAAGCCUGACGGAGCAAUGCCGCGUGAAGGAUGAAGGCCUGUGGGUUGUAAACUUCUUUUUUCAGAGAAGAAAUUUUGACGGUAUUUGAGGAAUAAGCAUCGGCUAACUCUGUGCCAGCAGCCGCGGUAAGACAGAGGAUGCCAGCGUUAUCCGGAAUGAUUGGGCGUAAAGCGUCUGUAGGUGGCUUGACAAGUCUCCUGUCAAAGAUCAGGGCUUAACCCUGGGCCGGCAGGGGAAACUAUCAGGCUAGAGUUCGGUAGGGGCAGAGGGAAUUCCCGGUGGAGCGGUGAAAUGCGUAGAUAUCGGGAGGAACACCAACGGCGAAAGCACUUUGCUGGGCCGAAUUAUGGGGUACUUCGGUACCAACCAUA
rnacentral:rRNA from 1 species